CACGCCGUAAACGAUGAGAACUAGCUGUCGGGGCUCUUGGAGCUUCGGUGGCGCAGCUAACGCAUUAAGUUCUCCGCCUGGGGAGUACGGCCGCAAGGUUAAAACUCAAAGGAAUUGACGGGGGCCUGCACAAGCGGUGGAGCAUGUGGUUUAAUUCGAAGCAACGCGCAGAACCUUACCAGCGUUUGACAUCGCAGGACGGUUUCCAGAGAUGGAUUCCUUCUCGCAAGAGACUUGCAGACAGGUGC
rnacentral:rRNA from 1 species